AUACUACUCCCUCCGUUCGGAAUUACUUGUCUUGAAAAUGGAUGUAUCUAGAACUAAAAUACAUCUAGAUACAUCCAUUUCUACGACAAGUAAUUCUGAACAGAGGGAGUAGAUC
rnacentral:pre_miRNA from 1 species